UACGAAGGGGGCUAGCGUUGCUCGGAAUCACUGGGCGUAACGCGCACGUAGGCGGCUUUUUAAGUCAGGGGUGAAAUCCUGGAGCUCAACUCCAGAACUGCCUUUGAUACUGGCGAUCUUGAGUCCGGGAGAGGUGAGUGGAACUGCGAGUGUAGAGGUGAAAUUCGUAGAUAUUCGCAAGAACACCAGUGGCGAAGGCGGCUCACUGGCCCGAUACUGACACUGAGGUGCGAAAGCGUGGGGAGCAAACAGG
rnacentral:rRNA from 1 species